UGGUGGAGUGAUUUGUCUGGUUGAUUCCGAUAACGAACGAGACGGGAGAAGCUUACUAGGUUGUUUGUUAACUCACGUUAGCAAAACCUUCUUUGCUUGACAACUUGGUUUUACCAAGAGGAAGCGUCCCGCAAUAACA
rnacentral:rRNA from 1 species